GUGAGUAAUGCUUGGGAAUCUACCUAGUAGUGGGGGACAACAGUUGGAAACGACUGCUAAUACCGCAUACGACCUACGGGUGAAAGAGGGGGAUCUUCGGACCUCUUGCUAUUAGAUGAGCCCAAGUCGGAUUAGCUAGUUGGUAGGGUAAAGGCCUACCAAGGCGACGAUCCGUAGCUGGUUUGAGAGGAUGAUCAGCCACACUGGGACUGAGACACGGCCCAGACUCC
rnacentral:rRNA from 1 species